rnacentral:lncRNA from 1 species
UGGCCACAGUAGUAUGAUUGAUGGAAAAGUAUUUUCAUAGAAGUCACAAUUAGAUUUGAGCUAAUUGAAUCUAUCAUAUGACUGAUGUUGAAGUUUGAUGAUUUAUCCAUGACUUACCAUCUAGUCGGGACUCAUGAUAGAGGGAUUGAAUCACAUGUUAACUAUACCUAGAAGCUCAUUUCAGUUCUACUAGAUUGCC